CGGUUGAAGUCAGUCAUGCUAGUGAAAAAUCAGUUUGACGGGUUUUGAGUUCAGGAGUAGAGGCAGGGUCAAACCGUUUCUCUUUUGGACUUGGGAUUUGUUAGAUGUACUUUUUCUUUGGCAGGUCAGCGUCGAUUUCGGAGGUUGUAAAAUACUUGGGGGAAAGUAACUCUGCUUCGGGAGAGUAUUAUAGACCCUGGGGGAUGCAGCCUGCGGGAUCGAGGAUUGCAGCAAAUGCCUUUGGCUUGUCGCCUGAUCUCUGGAUGUUACCUCGCUUGUGACAACAUUCUUGCCACCUGUGGGUACUAAUGCCCAUUAGGUUAGAGCGAUCAAAAAUUUCGCUAAGGAUGUUGACGUAA
rnacentral:rRNA from 1 species